AAUGGCAGCAUUAGGACGGUCGACGCUCAGCUAUUCCAACUGCUAACUGCCCGGCCAAGACAGACGGCGCGGGGAGGAGCACUUUGCGCAACACGGGGGUGGAGAAGCAAAGGGACAGUUGGGACAGUCGAGCCCGGCUGUCGCCAAUCUCCAAGGCUCCUACUAGCAUGGGCGCGGAAACCGAAGGCAGCUUCUUAAAUCAACUUUUCUCCUAGCAGUUAAGCAGAUCAUGGCUCUCCCCGUGUUACAGAAGUCUCGUUAAGUGGAUAUGACUUUCCCCAUUGAUUUUGCUUGUUGGAAGCUGUCUGGAAAAGUCUCAAGUGGCAAUCAUGUGACCCGGAACACUGCAACCAUCAGAUAUACAUGCUGGUGGCCAUGCACCCACAUGAGCAUCGGGACGUCGCAACAGUCGUGUGCAUGGACCUGUCAUAACCCACUUUUUUCAGCACCAUCAUAACUUUAAAUGGUUGUUAAAUGAAUAGUUCCAAGUUGAAGAUUACCUGUAGUGCAAUUACUGAUACUAAGCAAUAAUUCAGCUUCUUGACCGUUGUUUCUGUAUUAUAAAGUUAUUAAAAACUAAAUGCUGAUCCAUUAUUCUAUAAAUUAUAGCCAGGUUUAGCAACUUCUUGAAAUUUUGAAAGUGAUCACUUAUUACAGUGGUUUUUAGACCUAUUACAACCUUAUCAGCUGAAAAAUUAAUAUAUCAAUAACCGCACUUCUGAGAUAGUUUGAUGUGUCAGCUUACCUUUUCCUGCUUUUGAGUUUUGUUUAAUUUAUAGUCAUCAUGUACAAGAAGUCUUUAGUUCUUGAAUUGUAUCUUUUGAGAAUUAAACCCUAUCAAACUCCUGCCUAAGAAACUGGCUGAGUUCUUAUGAAAACCUAUUCCUCAAUUAGCCAAGACUCUUUUUGUGGUGUGUAUUUAUUCAAAUUAUGAUGCUCAGUACAAUAAUUGAUUACAACACA